UCAACUAGCCCUGAAAAUGGAUGGCGCUUGAGCGAGGGACCUAUACCCAGCCGUUGCUGGCUUGUGCGUUGUCUAGCGCCUGGCCGCAACGAGUAGGAGGGUCGUGGCGGUUGCGUCGAAGGCUUUGGGCGUAGGCCCAGCUGGAGCUUCCGUCAGUGCAGAUCUCGGUGGUAGUAGCAAAUAUUUAAGUUCGAUCCUUGAAGACUGAAGUGGAGAAGGGUUCCACGUGAACAGUAGUUGAAUGUGGGUCAGUCGAUCCUAAGAUACUGGCUUAUGCCUUGUAUCAUUGAGAGGGAAAAGUUUCUUUUCUCUCGGAUAUCAAAAGGGAAUAGGGUUAAUAUUCCCUAACGCAGACACAGAGAUUGCGGCUCUUUGAGUCGCUUGCGCGGUAACGCAUUCGAACUUGGUUACGUCGCUCAGAGACCGAGCUAGAGUUCUCUUCUCUAGUUAAGGAACGGACUCCCUGGAAUCGGUUCAGCCGUAGAUAGGGACGUUGUUUCCGUAAAGCAUCGCGGUUUCUGUGAUGUCUCGUGUUCUCUGGACGGCCCUUGAAAAACCAAGGAAGGCUAUCAAUCUGUGCUGCAUCGUACCGAUAUCCGCAUCAGGUCUCCAAGGUGAACAGC
rnacentral:rRNA from 1 species